rnacentral:rRNA from 1 species
UCCCGGGGGACGGGCGUGUCUUUGCCCAAUGAAAAAUUAAAUGGCCGCAGUACCCUGACUGUGCUAAGGUAGCGUAAUCAGUUGGCUUUUAAAUGGAGUCGUGUAUGAAUGGGUUAAUAGGGCUAGGCUGUCUUCUUUAGGAUCUUAUGAAGUUGCUUUAAGAGGUGAAAAGUCCUCUACACAUAUAAAAUAGACGAGAAGACCCUUGGAGUUUUUAUGGACUAUAUUUAGUAUACUAAGUUUUUGCUGGGGCGGCAUAGAGACAAGUAGAACUCUCUAAGUCAUAAUUAUUUAUUUAGCGCUUAUUAAAAGAAUAUAUAAACUACCCAAGGGAUAACAGCAUAAUUUUUUAAAGUUUGUGACCUCGAUGUUGGACUAGGGACUUCAUGGUUAGCCGCCUUUAGAGCUUGUUCUGUUCGAACAAUUUACCCUACAUGAUCGGCCCAAAAACCGCGGGAGCG